UUUGAACUCCUGGACUCAAGCAGUCCUUCUGCCUUGGCCUCUCAAAGUGUUGGGAAUACAGGUGUGAGCCACCCAACCACGCCCGGCUGAAUACUUUUUUUUUUUGGAGAUGAAAUCUUGCUCUUGUCACCCAGGCUGGAGUGCAAUGACAAGAUCUUGGCUCACUGCAACCUCUGUCUAAGUGAUUUAAGGGUUUAAGUGAUUCUCCUGCCUCAGCCUCCCAAGUAGCUGGGUUUACAAGUGCAUGCCACCACGCCUGGCUAAUUUUUGUAUUUUUAGUAGAGACGGGGUUUUACCAUGUUGGCCAGGCUGGUCUCGAACUCCUGACCUCAGGCAAUCCAUCUGCCUUGGCCUCCCAAAGUGCUGGGAUUACAAGCGUGCACCACCGCACUCGGCCCCAAAUAAUAUUUUUUAAAUAAGGUUUUAACAGACAGGACGAAUAAAUUUGUGAACAGUUAAUAAACCAAGCUUUAGUGUCAUGAGAAUAGCAUAAGUUUUCUUAAAUUUUCAUAUGUAGUAAACCACAAAGAUUAUACUGUGGAUUCUGAUAAUUUCCAGCUCAUCUUUAAUAGGGAGUGACUGAUAGUAGAUCUAACCUAAGAUGAUGUUGUUGAUUUUUCAAACUGUGUUGCUUGGACCUAAUGCAUCUGCUGAGCCUGCUGCUGGGAGCCCUGGGGCAGAGGAGAGAGGCAGUUUAAAAGCUAAAGCCAAGUCAGGAAGAGGAAGACAAGAUGAGAAACACCAAAUCAAGAUAAGAGAAGAAAAUAAGUGCAACAUGCCAGAAAUCCAGUAAAGAAGUUCAAGUAUCAGAAGAGCAUGAAUCAAAACCAAGUGCAAGAAGAGGCACCUUGACAUUGAACUAAAGGCCACCAGGUACUCACUGGGUCAAUGACUCUUCUCAUUUUUAUGUAAAUAUGAAUCAUCAGGUGAACUACUUGAAAUGCACAUUCUCGGACUAAUUUCUAUUUUUAGAAAAGCUGAUGAUUCUGGUCCUCAGAACAUACUUGAAAUACCAAGGUUCAAGUACUUCCUGGUAAAGGAGUACUUAAACAAAAGAGUAAAGAAAUGGACACUUCAGUCUCCAUGUCCACCCCUCCAUGCCUGUGGCCAAUAGCACUCAAACUGAGAACACCUUUUCUGAUGACCCCAUACUGUGUCCAGAAUCUAGCCCAACAUAAUGUCCCAUUUUCCAAGUGUAAAUCGCUCAGGUAUACUUGCAAUAUGUUAAAAUGUUAAGCCCCUUUCAUAUUAUUUCAUGUGGUGGUAGGGGGAGUGAUGGUGCUGGUUUCAAACUUAGACAUGCAGCAGAAUCAGCUGGAAAGCUUGUUUAAAUGAAGACUGAUCAGUCCAGUCUGGCUGCUGGGUGGAGUUUUAGAUUCAGUAAAUCUGAGAUGAAGCUGAGAAUCUGUCCUUUCAUAAGUUCCCAAGUUAUACAGAUGCUGCUGGUCAGGGACCACAGUUGGAAAACCA
rnacentral:lncRNA from 10 species